AACGGGUGAGUAACACGUGGGCAACCUGCCCUCCACUCUGGGAUAACUCCGGGAAACCGGGGCUAAUACUGGAUACGACCUUCGCCCGCAUGGGUGGGGGUGGAAAGUUUUUCGGUGGAGGAUGGGCCCGCGGCCUAUCAGCUUGUUGGUGGGGUGAUGGCCUACCAAGGCGGUGACGGGUAGCCGGCCUGAGAGGGCGACCGGCCACACUGGGACUGAGACACGGCCCAGACUCCUGCGGGAGGCAGCAGUGGGGAAUAUUGCACAAUGGGCGAAAGCCUGAUGCAGCGACCCCGCGUGAGGGAUGACGGCCUUCGGGUUGUAAACCUCUUUCAGCAGGGACCAAGCGUGAGUGAGUGUACCUGCAGAAGAAGCACCGGCUAACUACGUGCCAGCAGCCGCGGUAAUACGUAGGGUGCGAGCGUUGUCCGGAUUUAUUGGGCGUAAAGGGCUCGUAGGCGGCCUGUCGCGUCGGGAGUGAAAGCCCACUGCUUAACGGUGGGUCUGCUUCCGGUAC
rnacentral:rRNA from 1 species